CUCCCUCUCUGGUGCCUUCUCAGCCAGAGCAGUGUCCUGUACAAUGGCCUAAACGUGAUGUUAAUUCCUUGUGGGGCAUUGGUGUGUCUACAACUGCUUGGCAAAGCACUCAUUCCAUAGCCAUCACAACCUCUGCUGUCACAGGAUAAAGAAAAAUUUGCUUUCACUGUGCCCGUUUUAAAUAAUAGCCAACCUACACAACGAUGUUAUUGGUGUGUUUUACCACAAGGUAUGCUCAAUUCUCCUACCAUUUGUCAAUAUUUUGUGGAUCAAGCUUUGCAACUUUUUCGUGAUCAAUUUCCUUCUUAUCUAGUUUACCAUUAUAUGGAUAAUAUUUUAAUUGCAGGUUCAGAUCUUGAUGAAGACAAGUGCUACAAACAUUGACUACCAUUGUAGCAAGCAGAGGGUUUUUCAUAGCUCCUGAAAAAAUACAACAUUCUGAGUUGGCAGUUGUUAUUUUGGCUUUGAGAUUAUUUUCUGAUCAAGAGCAAUAGAUAUCUUCUAGGCCUGUGCCUGUCCAUUCUUUAUGCAUGAAAUUACUUAACUUUUUUAGAUUCCUUUUCAGACAUUCCUGUACCACGAUCCCAGGUUAUAAGUUGGUCAUGGUUACGCUGCAAUUGGGACAUGGUUACCCUGCAAUUGAAGUUCUGCCAACAAAGCAAGCUGUGUGGAUUCCAGGCCGGUGUGUCGUCCUUAUCAUGGAAAAACAAAUGAAAGAUCUAAGGAUGCAACGUCCUCCAAUCUUGCCUUGGAAUCACAUUGAAGAUCAACCUCAAUUGAAAAAAUCCUUUUUGCUCAUGUAUUGUUUUUUUUUUUUUUUUUGCUCUUUCUCUCCAGUUUCUACUAACUCUGAGACAACUCCUGCUUUCUCUCCUAGUCCUAGUCUUUGAAUUCGUCAUGCUCAAUAUAUGUUUUUGAUUCAUGGUCGUAAUAUAACUUCUAUGGCUCUUGGUCAAGUUCUGCUUUCAUUGUUUUGCAACUUCAACAUAUUUCUUCUUCUUGGUUAUUUUCUACUCCACAUGAAUUAAAUUUAGUUACAUGGAAUUAUAUUCGGAUUAAUCAGUUUACUAGAGGCUUAUGUUUUUGUUGUUAUGCUCAUCAUAAUUGCCUUAAUCAAUGGUCUGAUUAUCCAAAAGCUAAACGUAUUUUAGAUAAAGUAGGGAAUUAUAGUUAUUGUACUCAGAAAUAUUGGUUAUGGGGCACUAUUAAAACAUCACGUCAUAACACUACACCUGAUAUGUAUCCUGAAAAUUUUCCUAUCUUUCGAACUGACUCUUCUAAUAUUGGAACAGGUGGAUCAAUCUGUGCUGGAUGGCAAUUGAAAGAUCCUGCAAUGUGGUUUUUCUUUGACAAAUAUGCAACUAACGUACACCCUCAGAACUAUCAAUGUGCUGCCAUUGGAUAUUUAUCUUUACCUAUCCAAGUGGGUGUUUCUGGAAGUUUAUCAACUCGAAAAAGAAGUGCACCCUUGAGAUCAAAAUGUUCUGAUGAAGUUAUUAUUGAUACUCAAUUUUCUUCAUUGCCUACUUUUGGACGUGCAUUAGUUGGAGCCAUAACUGGAACUAUUACUUUGGGAUCUUACCCAGGAAUAAUAGCUCAAGAAAAUAGGCAUUCUAUUUUAGGUCUCACAUUUCGAUUGGAGAAAUCUAUUAAUGCUACUGCUGUAAUUAUUAGAGAUUUGCAAAAUGAAAUUGAAGAACUCAAUCAAGAUUUAAUUCGACAAUGCUUUGCUAUAGACUAUUUGUUAGCUUGUCAAGGUGGAUUUUGUACCUUAGUUGGUCAACGUGCUUGCACUAUGCAUUUUCAUUCACUAAAAAAACUAUUGAAGAUGAAUUAGCUAAUUUACAAGCUUCUAUAAAAAUAAUGUACAUGAUGAAUUUUCUCCUUAUGCUUGGUUAACUAAUUGCUUACCUGAUAUUUCUUGGUUAAAACAAUUGUUUUUCUAUGGUGUGAACAUAAUUGCAUUACUUAUACUUUGUUGUUGCUGUAUGCAAUGUAUUCCUUCAUUUUUUUGCCAUGUGUCAUAAGUCUCCUGCACCUACUUUGAAUGUGAUUCAAAUGCAUGCUCUUGAAAAAUGUCUUUUUUCGUCAUUAAAAACAAAAAGCGAGGAAAUGUAGUGUUUUUACAGUGAAUCAUCUGGAUGGUCCUUAGAACUGAGGUUA